UCUGUGUGAGAUACCUGAAGCAGUGCCUAAUGUCACUGCCAGGUAACAUGCAGUCCGACACAGGUCUGCGUCUGUGGGAGAUAUCUGAAGUAGUGCCAGGUGUCACUGCCACGUAACAUACAGCCUGACACAGGUUUGUGUCUGUGGGAGAUAUCUUAAGUAGUGCCAAAUGUCACUGCAAGGUAACAUGCAGUCUGCCACAGGUUUGCGUCUGUGGGAGAUACCUGAAGUAGUACCAGGUGUCACUGCUAGGUAACAUGCAGCCUGACACAGGUUUGUGUGUGUGGGAGAUACCUGAAGUAGUAUCAUGUGUCAUUGCCAGGUAACAUGCAGUCUGACACAGGUCUGCGUCUGUGGGAGAUAUCUGAAGUAGUGCCAGGUGUCACUACCACGUAGCAUGCAGUCUGACACAGGUUUGUGUCUGUGGGAGAUACCUGAAG